rnacentral:rRNA from 13 species
GACACUUUGAACGCAUAUUGCGGAAAUGAGCUUGUCUCAUUUCCAUAUCUGGCUCAGGGUCGGUUAAACAUCU